GUCGGGUUGUGCGUGCGGGUCAGGGGGCUAAACGGCGUCGUUUCGCGCCUGGGGAGGUCACUCGAAACGGAGUCGUUUUAUAUCUAAUAUAAAUAUCAAAAAAAGAAAGGAAAAAAAUUUUGCUUCAUUUUUUCACAAAAAACAGAGGGCUCAGCCUCUCUCUCUCUCUCGCAGGCCCUAAGCCCGGCCGAUAGGGGCGACGUUGGCGCCGCCGUGACCCCACCGUCAUCGGUGAUCGGGGCAACUCAAAGGUCGCGCUUUUGGUCCGUUUUUAAGGCGCUCGAAGGCCUAAACCUCUGGGCUUCAAGGCCGAAAGGAGAAGACCCCAUGUUUUUCCCCUUUCACGUCCUGAUUUCGAUAACCGAAAUGGCCGGCGAAGGGAUUUUCAGGCGACCCCUAGGUAUUAUCCCUCCUCCUUCAUGCUUGUUUUCUUUUUAUUUAACAGAUUCGCAAAACAAAACAAAAAUAAAAUAAAUAAAUAACGACGAGUAAAUAGAUUGAAAAAAAAAAGAAAUAUCAACCUCUAUUGUUCUUAUUUCUGAUAUUCUAAGAUGUGUCUGAACCCAUACAAAGAAAAAGCUUGUGGCUUUUAUAGUCAAAUUACAAACUAUUUGAUGAUUGCUUUUGUCGUUUUGUUAUUGUUUUGUUGUCUGUUGUUUCGACUUUCUUUUUUUGUUUUUUCUUUUUGUUGUUUUUUGUUUGCGUGUGGCUCUCUCUUGCAGGUAGUCUGACGCGUGUGAAGGGCCGACGACAGGCGAGCAGUGGCAGCGGUGGUGCUGACUCACGGCGUUGGAGGCUAAAGACCUAGGUGCGGCGCACCUAGGGUUUUCCCUUAGCUGAAAGUUGGCAUAAUUUUUGCGCCAUUUAGGCUUAGGGUUAAAAUUUGGACUGAGGGUUUAAUGUUUGGUCUGGUUUAGUAAUUGGGCUAGGAUAUUUUAUUUGCUUUUAUUUUGGCACUGGGCCCGGGCAUAAAUGGAUCUGUACAGUAUAAGUUAAGAAUAC
rnacentral:lncRNA from 1 species